rnacentral:rRNA from 1 species
UGCGUAGGCGGAAUGAUAAGUCAGUGGUGAAAACCUGCAGCUUAACUGUAGAACUGCCAUUGAUACUGUUAGUCUUGAGUACGGUCAAGGUAGGCGGAAUGUGUAAUGUAGCGGUGAAAUGCUUAGAUAUUACACAGAACACCGAUUGCGAAGGCAGCUUACUGGGCCAUUACUGACGCUGAGGCACGAAAGCGUGGGUAGCGAACAGGAUUAGAUACCCUGGUAGUCC